UAUUAAAAAUUUCAUCCAUUUAUACUGUUAAAGAUUGGUGUAGUUGAUAGAAUAAUCAGAUAAUGACAUGCAACAUGCCACGAACACCUCAUGCUGAUGUAUAAUAACCAAUUUCUAACAACAGAAAUGGAUACAAUUUUUAUUA
rfam:Gossypium arboreum cultivar AKA8401 contig_3610_7, whole genome shotgun sequence.